rnacentral:rRNA from 1 species
AUUGAACGCUGGCGGCAUGCCUUACACAUGCAAGUCGAACGGUAACAGGUCUUCGGAUGCUGACGAGUGGCGAACGGGUGAGUAAUACAUCGGAACGUGCCCAGACGUGGGGGAUAACGAGGCGAAAGCUUUGCUAAUACCGCAUACGAUCUAAGGAUGAAAGCAGGGGACCGCAAGGCCUUGUGCGUUUGGAGCGGCCGAUGGCAGAUUAGGUAGUUGGUGGGAUAAAAGCUUACCAAGCCGACGAUCUGUAGCUGGUCUGAGAGGACGACCAGCCACACUGGGACUGAGACACGGCCCAGACUCCUACGGGAGGCAGCAGUGGGGAAUUUUGGACAAAGGGCGAAAGCCUGAUCCAGCAAUGCCGCGUGCAGGAUGAAGGCCUUCGGGUUGUAAACUGCUUUUGUACGGAACGAAAAGGCUCUGGCUAAUACCUGGGACACAUGACGGUACCGUAAGAAUAAGCACCGGCUAACUACGUG